AUUGAACGCUGGCGGCAGGCCUAACACAUGCAAGUCGAGCGGUAGCACAGAGAGCUUGCUCUCGGGUGACGAGCGGCGGACGGGUGAGUAAUGUCUGGGAAACUGCCUGAUGGAGGGGGAUAACUACUGGAAACGGUAGCUAAUACCGCAUAAUGUCGCAAGACCAAAGUGGGGGACCUUCGGGCCUCAUGCCAUCAGAUGUGCCCAGAUGGGAUUAGCUAGUAGGUGGGGUAAUGGCUCACCUAGGCGACGAUCCCUAGCUGGUCUGAGAGGAUGACCAGCCACACUGGAACUGAGACACGGUCCAGACUCCUACGGGAGGCAGCAGUGGGGAAUAUUGCACAAUGGGCGCAAGCCUGAUGCAGCCAUGCCGCGUGUGUGAAGAAGGCCUUCGGGUUGUAAAGCACUUUCAGCGGGGAGGAAGGCGAUAAGGUUAAUAACCUUGUCGAUUGACGUUACCCGCAGAAGAAGCACCGGCUAACUCCGUGCCAGCAGCCGCGGUAAUACGGAGGGUGCAAGCGUUAAUCGGAAUUACUGGGCGUAAAGCGCACGCAGGCGGUCUGUCAAGUCGGAUGUGAAAUCCCCGGGCUCAACCUGGGAACUGCAUUCGAAACUGGCAGGCUAGAGUCUUGUAGAGGGGGGUAGAAUUCCAGGUGUAGCGGUGAAAUGCGUAGAGAUCUGGAGGAAUACCGGUGGCGAAGGCGGCCCCCUGGACAAAGACUGACGCUCAGGUGCGAAAGCGUGGGGAGCAAACAGGAUUAGAUACCCUGGUAGUCCACGCCGUAAACGAUGUCGAUUUGGAGGUUGUGCCCUUGAGGCGUGGCUUCCGGAGCUAACGCGUUAAAUCGACCGCCUGGGGAGUACGGCCGCAAGGUUAAAACUCAAAUGAAUUGACGGGGGCCCGCACAAGCGGUGGAGCAUGUGGUUUAAUUCGAUGCAACGCGAAGAACCUUACCUGGUCUUGACAUCCACAGAACUUUCCAGAGAUGGAUUGGUGCCUUCGGGAACUGUGAGACAGGUGCCGCAUGGCUGUCGUCAGCUCGUGUUGUGAAAUGUUGGGUUAAGUCCCGCAACGAGCGCAACCCUUAUCCUUUGUUGCCAGCGGUCCGGCCGGGAACUCAAAGGAGACUGCCAGUGAUAAACUGGAGGAAGGUGGGGAUGACGUCAAGUCAUCAUGGCCCUUACGACCAGGGCUACACACGUGCUACAAUGGCAUAUACAAAGAGAAGCGACCUCGCGAGAGCAAGCGGACCUCAUAAAGUAUGUCGUAGUCCGGAUUGGAGUCUGCAACUCGACUCCAUGAAGUCGGAAUCGCUAGUAAUCGUAGAUCAGAAUGCUACGGUGAAUACGUUCCCGGGCCUUGUACACACCGCCCGUCACACCAUGGGAGUGGGUUGCAAAAGAAGUAGGUAGCUUAACCUUCGGGAGGGCGCUUACCACUUUGUGAUUCAUGACUGGGGUGA
rnacentral:rRNA from 1 species